UUUCUUGGUAUUUUUAUUCAGUAGAUCAUAGAUCUAUGAGUAGAUACAGCUUUCUUGAUGGACAUUUAUCUUUAUUGAUAUCCACAUCAAUGGUCAUGUAAAUAUAAGUUUUUGCAAUGGUUGUCUUCGGACAAAUGACAACUUUAUUAGAGUCGUUUUAACAAAAAUCACUGAUUUGUAAAUUCGUAUAAAUACAACUGUCUGGCUGCAUCUAAUCCUUUUGGUGUUAAAAAGUGUUUUGCAUAGAAGAUGUUUAAAUUAUAGCGUUUUUUUUUAAAAUAAAAUGACGGUUAUAGGUACAGAGUCUGACAGGACUUUGCCAACACAAUUUUCAGGUUUCGCUAAAUGAAUCUUGAAGUGGUGAUAAGUUCUAAAAUGCUGCAGUAUUUUUUUAA
rnacentral:lncRNA from 1 species